GUGUCAGCCGCCGCGGUAAUACGUAGGGAGCAAGCGUUGUUCGGAUUUACUGGGCGUAAAGGGCGCGUAGGCGGCGCGGUAAGUCACUUGUGAAAUCUCUGAGCUUAACUCAGAACGGCCAAGUGAUACUGCAGUGCUAGAGUGCAGAAAGGGCAAUCGGAAUUCUUGGUGUAGCGGUGAAAUGCGUAGAUAUCAAGAGGAACACCUGAGGCGAAGGCGGGUUGCUAGGCUGACACUGACGCUGAGGCGCGAAAGCCAGGGGAGCAAACGGGAUUAGAUACCCCCGUAGUCC
rnacentral:rRNA from 1 species